AUGCCGCUAUGCGCAACUUCAGAAGGACGAGCUCGAGCGCCAGUGCACGGAGAUGUUGGCCCAAGGCAUCAUCCGCCCGAGCGACUCGGCCUUCUCUUCACCCGUCCUCCUCGUCAAGAAACGGGAUGGCUCGUGGCGCUUUUGCGUCGACUAUCGGGUGUUGAACGAUCAUAUCAUGAAGGAAAGUUUCUAAUUCCUGUUGUUGACGAGCUACUGGAUGAACUCCGGGGCGCUAGGUUCUUCACCAAGCUUGACCAGCGCUCGGGGUAUCAUCAGGUACGGGUGCACCCUGAUGAUGUUGCUAAGACGGCGUUUCGCACACAUGAUGGCCACUAUGAGUUCUUGGUUAUGCCAUUUGGCUUAACCAACGCACCAGCAACCUUCCAGGCUUUGAUGAAUGACAUCUUGCUCCCUUUUUUGCGCAAAUUUGUCCUUGUUUUCUUUGAUGACAUCUUAAUCUAA
rnacentral:rRNA from 1 species